rnacentral:rRNA from 1 species
UGUGUAGGCGGUCCUCUAAGUUUGGUGUGAAAUCUCCCGGCUCAACCGGGAGGGUGCGCCGAAAACUGGAGGGCUAGAGUGCGGGAAGGGAGAGUAGAAUUCCUGGUGUAGCGGUGAAAUGCGUAGAUAUCAGGAGGAAUACCGGUGGUGCAGACGGCUCUCUGGACCGUAACUGACGCUGAGACACGAAAGCGUGGGUAGCAAACAGGAUUAGAUACCCUGGUAGUCCACGCCCUAAACGAUGCAUAUUUGGUGUAGGUCAUUCAGUUGAUCUGUGCCGGAGCUAACGCGUUAAAUAUGCCGCCUGGGGAGUACAGUCGCAAGGCUGAA